UCCUAGGAUCUACAGGCCCGUCUGC
rnacentral:piRNA from 1 species